GGGGAAUCUUGCGCAAUGGGCGAAAGCCUGACGCAGCGACGCCGCGUGCGGGAUGAAGGCCUUCGGGUUGUAAACCGCUUUCAGCAGGGACGAGGCCGCAAGGUGACGGUACCUGCAGAAGAAGCCCCGGCUAACUACGUGCCAGCAGCCGCGGUAAUACGUAGGGGGCAAGCGUUAUCCGGAUUCAUUGGGCGUAAAGCGCGCGUAGGCGGCCUGUUAGGUCGGUAGUCAAAUCCGGGGGCUCAACCCCCGUCCGCUUCCGAUCCCGGCAGGCUUGAGUCUGGUAGGGGAAGGUGGAAUUCCCAGUGUAGCGGUGGAAUGCGCAGAUAUUGGGAAGAACACCGGUGGCGAAGGCGGCCUUCUGGGCCACGACUGACGCUGAGGCGCGAAAGCUAGGGGAGCAAAUA
rnacentral:rRNA from 1 species